CCUACGGGAGGCAGCAGUGGGGAAUAUUGGGCAAUGGGCGCAAGCCUGACCCAGCAACGCCGCGUGAAGGAAGAAGGCUUUCGGGUUGUAAACUUCUUUUGUCAGGGACGAAGCAAGUGACGGUACCUGACGAAUAAGCCACGGCUAACUACGUGCCAGCAGCCGCGGUAAUACGUAGGUCGCAAGCGUUAUCCGGAUUUAUUGGGUGUAAAGGGCGUGUAGGCGGGAAUGCAAGUCAGAUGUGAAAACUAUGGGCUCAACCCAUAGCCUGCAUUUGAUACUGUAUUUCGUGAGAGCUGGAGAGGCAGUCGGAAUUCCGUGUGUAGCGGUGAAAUGCGUAGAGAUAAGGAGGAACACCAGUGGCGAAGGCGGAUUGCUGGACAGUAACUGACGCUGAGGCGCGAAAGCGUGGGGAGCAAACAGGUUUAGAUACCCUAGUAGUC
rnacentral:rRNA from 1 species